UCAAAAACAUGUCCUUUUGUUAAUAAUUUAAGGUCUGACCUGCCCAAUGAGUAUUUAAAUGGCCGCAGUAUUUUGACUGUGCAAAGGUAGCAUAAUCAUUAGUUUUUUAAUUGUAAGCUGGAAUGAAUGGUUUGAUGAGAAAAUAACUGUCUCAAUUUAAUUGUUUUAGAAUUUUAAUUUUAAGUGAAAAAGCUUAAAUUUUUAAGGAAGACGAGAAGACCCUAUAGAGUUUAAUAUUUCUAUAUUAUGAUUGUUUUUAGAUUUGUUUAAAAUUUUAAUGUGGAAUUAUUUUAUUGGGGUGAUAUUAAAAUUUAAAAAACUUUUAAUUUAUUUUAACAUUUUUGUAUGAUUAUUUGAUCCUAUUUUUUAGAUUAUAAGAUAAAAUUACCUUAGGGAUAACAGCGUAAUUUUUUUUAAGAGUUCUUAUCGAAAAAAAAGUUUGCGACCUCGAUGU
rnacentral:rRNA from 1 species